rnacentral:pre_miRNA from 1 species
CAGGUACUCCCUCCGUUCGGAAUUACUUGUCGCGAAAAUGGAUGUAUCUAGAACUAAAAUACGUCUAGAUACAUCCAUUUCUGCGACAAGUAAUUCCAAAUGGAGGGAGUAGUUG